GAUCCUGGCUCAGAUUGAACGCUGGCGGCAGGCUUAACACAUGCAAGUCGAACGGGUAGCAGGUAAGUACUUGUACUUAUGCUGACGAGUGGCGGACGGGUGAGUAAUGCUUGGGGAUCUGGCUUAUGGAGGGGGAUAACGACGGGAAACUGUCGCUAAUACCGCGUAGAAUCGAGAGAUGAAAGUGUGGGACCUUCGGGCCACAUGCCAUAGGAUGAACCCAAGUGGGGAUUAGGUAGUUGGUAGGGUUAA
rnacentral:rRNA from 1 species